rnacentral:tRNA from 1 species
UUCCUGAUGGUCCAGAGUCUAAGACUCUGCACUCCCAAUGCAGGAGGCUCAGGUUUGAUCCCUGGUUAGGGAA